rnacentral:rRNA from 1 species
AUUGAACGCUGGCGGCAGGCCUAACACAUGCAAGUCGAACGAGUGGCGGACGGGGGAGUAAUGUCUGGGAAACUGCCUGAUGGAGGGGGAUAACUCCUGGAAACGGUAGCUAAUACCGCAUAACAUAAGAUGUGCCCAGAUGGGAUGAGCUUGUUGGUGGGGUAACGGCUCACCAAGGCGACGAUCCCUAGCUGGUCUGAGAGGAUGACCGGCCACACGGGAACUGAGACACGGUCCAGACUCCGACGGGAGGCAGCAGUGGGGAAUAUUGCACAAUGGGGGCAAGCCUGAUGCAGCCAUGCGGCGUGUAUGAAGAAGGCCUUCGGGUUGUAAAGUACUUUCAGCGGGGAGGCGUUACCCGCAGAAGAAGCACCGGCUAACUCCGUGCCAGCAGCCGCGGUAAUAC